AUUGAACGCUGGCGGCAGGCUUAACACAUGCAAGUCGAGCGGGGAAAGGUAGCUUGCUACUGGACCUAGCGGCGGACGGGUGAGUAAUGCUUAGGAAUCUGCCUAUUAGUGGGGGACAACAUUCCGAAAGGAAUGCUAAUACCGCAUACGCCCUACGGGGGAAAGCAGGGGAUCUUCGGACCUUGCGCUAAUAGAUGAGCCUAAGUCGGAUUAGCUAGUUGGUGGGGUAAAGGCCUACCAAGGCGACGAUCUGUAGCGGGUCUGAGAGGAUGAUCCGCCACACUGGGACUGAGACACGGCCCAGACUCCUACGGGAGGCAGCAGUGGGGAAUAUUGGACAAUGGGCGCAAGCCUGAUCCAGCCAUGCCGCGUGUGUGAAGAAGGCCUUUUGGUUGUAAAGCACUUCAAGCGAGGAGGAGGCUCCUUUAGUUAAUACCUAAAGAGAGUGGACGUUACUCGCAGAAUAAGCACCGGCUAACUCUGUGCCAGCAGCCGCCGUAAUAC
rnacentral:rRNA from 1 species